rnacentral:rRNA from 1 species
AAAGAGCUUGUAGGCGGUCUGUCGCGUCUGCUGUGAAAAUCCGGGGCUCAACCCCGGACUUGCAGUGGGUACGGGCAGACUAGAGUGUGGUAGGGGAGACUGGAAUUCCUGGUGUAGCGGUGAAAUGCGCAGAUAUCAGGAGGAACACCGAUGGCGAAGGCAGGUCUCUGGGCCACUACUGACGCUGAGAAGCGAAAGCAUGGGGAGCGAACAGGAUUAGAUACCCGUGU